rnacentral:rRNA from 1 species
AUUGAACGCUGGCGGAAUGCUUUACACAUGCAAGUCGAACGGCAGCACGGACUUCGGUCUGGUGGCGAGUGGCGAACGGGUGAGUGAUGUAUCGGAACGUGCCCAGUCGUGGGGGAUAACGUAGUGAAAAUUACGCUAAUACCGCAUACGAUCUAUGGAUGAAAGCGGGGGAUCGCAAGACCUCGCGCGAUUCGAGCGGCCGAUAUCAGAUUAGGUAGUUGGCGGGGUAAAGGCCCACCAAGCCAACGAACUGUAGCUGGUCUGAGAGGACGACCAGCCACACUGGAACUGAGACACGGUCCAGACUCCUACGGGAGGCAGCAGUGGGGAAUUUUGGACAAUGGGCGAAAGCCUGAUCCAGCCAUUCCGCGUGCAGGAUGAAGGCCCUCGGGUUGUAAACUGCUUUUGUACAGAACGAAAAGGUUUCUACUAAUACUAGGAGCUCAUGACGGUACUGUAAGAAUAAGCACCGGCUAACUACGUGCCAGCAGCCGCAGUAA